rnacentral:lncRNA from 1 species
GAAUCCUGCCUUUUCUACUUGAUUUGUGUUCACCGAGCUCUUUCUUUGCUGACUCUGAACCUUCAUUCACUUUAAGCUGAUAAUUCUUAUGGAGUUAGUCCCAGCACACAACUCCCCUUGGCUAUGAGGUUUGGCUGAAAAAUUCUACUAAACAGACUGAAAGGCAAACUCAAACUAAAACAUUAAGUAAGAAAGAGCAUACAUUUCAAUCCUAGGGACUUUAUGGUGGCUCUAGUAAAUACAUUCUAGAAGAAAAGGUACUGAUGAAAGACUGGUUAAGCCAAAACUUGACCUUCACAGUAAAUUUAGAAACACUUUGACCAAAGGUCCUCAUUGCGGGUUUUGGGGUUGAAGAGUAGAGUGCUAUAGGUGCAUUACCUAGAUGUAUGUAUCGAGAGGUUCAUGAUUAGCGGUGUAUUUGCCCUGCAUAACAUACAUGGCUUUUGUCCUUCAGUACAGGAAUUGCACGAUGUGUUAGAGACCAUCACACAGUGGACCUCUUGGUCCAGAAAAAGGUCACAUGACUAUUUAAAGGUCAUGUGACUAUAUUUCUCAUAUAUCCUUGUAGCCAAACACAAUUCUAUGUCAAUCACUCUUUUUAUUCUAUCCAAAGGCAACCAAGUGGUAGUACUCUUAAAUACUCAUGUGCACCCAAAACGUGUCAUUUAGAAUUAACCAAGUUAAUGUAAUCUGAUGAUAAUUUUGUGUGUGCGCACACGUGUGUAUGUGUGUGUGUGUAUUUUUCCUACUAAAGGUAUGCAAUUUGUUUCAGGGAAAUAUCAGGGGUGUUUUAGAAAGAAGAUUCUGCAACAUUUCCUUUUUCUAUCAGAAAUCCCAUAUACCUGGCUAUCUCAUCAAUCUCCUAAAUCUUUGGAAUGUGUACAAAUACAUUUUCAGUGGCAAAAUAGAAGAAUUUGGCAUAGCUCAUGCACAUAGGCCUGAUACAGCUUUACUAAUUAUUCCCUCAUAUCCUGAAUAUUCUGUAAUCAAAUACCAUCUUUUCCCAAAUUGAAAUGGGUCUUUUGAUCUUGGAACAUUGACAAGUGUUUGUUUGAGGAGAAAAAUGUUGCAAGUCCAAGAUUGCUCUGAGACCUUGUAAUCAAAGAGUUAAAAAAUCAGGGUAUUUUAGACUCCACACUAUGAAAUUCUGAAUAUAUAUAGAAUGCUGGAAAAUAACUUGACAAUAGAAGGGGUAUUUGUGUGGGGGGCAGGGAGAGGAAAAGAAGCCAUUUUUUUUAGAACAGGAGUUACUGAAACAUGAAAAUAGAAUAUUAAGUGGAUGGUCCCAGAGUAUUCAGCUUUUCCAAGGUAAAUAUUGAAAGGUGGAAACACAUCUGCAACAACCCUGAAUCCCUUAUCCUUUUGGGAUAAUCUUCAAGAUGCUUAGAUAAGUAGAAGGAUCAGAUGAGUGGGUUUGAACACAGAGCAGUGCUCUAAAGCAAUGUAAUUUUCAAUGCGUUCAAUUGUUGAUUUGGUCUUCAUCUUACUAAUUUCAAUAAGGAUAUUGAAGACGAGGAUAUCAUUAAAUAUCACACACAAAACAUAUGGGCGACUGAGGAGUCAGACUCUUCUAGGAAACUUCCUUUGUUUCCCAUAAAACAUAUUAGCACAGAGUCAAAACGUAUUAAAACAUCUCCUUCUAAACGGUAUGCAUGUACUUAUAUUUGAUUAGAAUGUGAUUUCUGUACAAAAGCUACUUUUUUUUUUUGAGAUUUUAUUUUUAAGUAAUCUCUACACCCAACAUGGGGCUCAAAUUUACAACCCCAAGAUCAAGAGUAAUACUCUCUUCUGACUGAGCCAGCCAGGGCCCCUGUACAAAAGCUAGUUUCCAUAAAAAUGAGUUUCCAAAAUUGCCUUAAAAUAAUCAAGGUCCCUUCCAUUCUUUUUCUUCUGCCAUAAGGAGAAGUACAAAUUCCUAACAACUCCGUAUUAGAUAGAAAACAGUUGUGACACGGUUGUCUUUCCAUGCUCUAGCAGGAUACAAAAUAAGAUACAUCUGGCUCCACGCGAGGAAAAAAGAAAUGUAGAAUGAAUGACAGUUCACUAUCAAUUAAGAUCCAAAUUUAGAUGCUGAGCGAAGCAUUCUCACAACACACAUCGGUUCAUGUCCUUUUGUUCUUUUUCAAGUGCUGCCAACAAAACUUCUGAGGCUUCGACCUUUCUUAGUGUUAAGAAAUACAUACAAAUCACAUAUACAAUUAUAUAAUUAAAUCGUAUAACAAAUGUUUAGCAGCAGUAAGUGAAACUGCCAUUCAUUUUGCUUUUGCCUAAGAUAAAUAAAAGGAAAAAACAAAAAAAGGAGGGGGGCGGGAUUUGCAGCAAGACAAUCAAUUGAGCUGUUUUAAUGAAAGCACAUGAUACCAGAAGAUCUUUCUGUUUUGUAGAUUUUGUCAUGCACCAUAAACAAAGAUUCUCAUACAUCCACUGAACAAAACACAGAGAGUAAGGACCUCCAAAACUCCAGACCAGAAAGCCUGAUCUUUCCAUAUUUGGCCCAGUAAUUUAAUUUCACCUUCUGGAUUAUUAAAGCCGUACUUUACUGUCCAUGCGAUACUGAACUGCUGAAUUUACAUUUGUCCGAAUGGCAUCAAUCCUGUCUUUAUCCGGUUGGCAGAAGUAGGGAAUAUAUGGCUUUUAACCCAGAUGAAAGGGAAGCUUCAUUGUUGUUUGAAGGAGAGGGACUGGUCUCUGGGGUGGCAGUGGAAUCCCUUCUGAUUUAUGUCUCGUAAUCCUGAGAACUUGGCAGACUAGCACCUCGCUCAGCCCCAGGAUAUGGUGAUGCGAACCCAUGAUGGGAGCCCCCGGCAUUGAUUAGGUCCAUAUAUCAGUAAGGCUUCUGAAUGAAAAUAGUAAAUCUCCUUACUUCUCAGCCCACAGUCCCCCACUGAAAGAGGUAAAAAUAAAAACUUAACUUCUAUCUAAGCACAGUUGCUAGUUUUGUAGCAUGUAUAGUUCUCUAAGAGAAAUGAGUGACAUGUCAAUCCAACUAAAUAUAUUGAAGCAUACACAAAAGUAAUUAUGAUAUAUUUUAUGGUAUAUACUUUUUUAUGGAAGCUACUCUAAAAUUUUAAAUCAAAUAAUUUGUAAUACUAGGGAAAUCAUGAGUUUCCUUACUAACGGAAUCGUUAUAAAGAAUAAUUAACCUUAACAAAAUGUGUAAAAUGUCUCAAAACUCCAAUGUUGAAGUGGAAUUCCCAGUCCUAUGGCUAGUUCUGUUUUUAAGAAAAUAAAGUUUUACAAAAUGAAAGAGAGAAGUAAUAAAGUUUCUCUUUCCAGCAUCCUUCAAACAGGAUAACUCAUAAUUGUAAAGAUUUCUCAACAUAAAUUGACUAUUAAUGAACUUUAGUUCACUCUGACCAUAAAAAUGUCAUGUAGCUAUGUAUUCAGAUCUGAACUUUUUUUCAAGAGUCUUGCAAACAAGUCACUCUUAAAAAAUCAAUACCAGCUUUUAUAUGCUUAAUUGCAUUUUUGUUUUUCAAUAUAUAUCCUUACACCAUGUAGAAGUAUAUUUUUUCUCAGCAUGAUUUCAGGUCUCCAGAUGUACUGUCUGUAAAAUCAGAAUCCGUCACUUCGACACAGCAUUUAGUUACAUGAUCUAGAGUUCAACCCUAAUGAUACUGGGGACAACUCAUACAGGUCAAUAAAUUAUUUCCUAGGUUUUGUAGGAGUGAGGUACCUUUUUAAUUUCUAUUUUUGAACUCUGCAUAAUGGAUCUUAGUGGAUCUAUUUUUAUUAUGAUCAAUGUAACCUCUGCCUCCAAGAAAAUUGAAGAAAGCAGGAAUUUCACAAUCUUGAGAAAUGCUUAAAAAGCUGCAGAAUAUUUAUAUAUAUAUAUAUAUAUAAUUUAAAUAUGUAUAAUUUAUCUAAUCUAUAAUUUUAUAAACACAAAUGUGUUACCAUACUUCCUAUCAAAGACAAAUGCCAAUACAUAUUGGUUAAUCUUUAGAAAGUAUAUGUUAAUAAGAAAAAAAUAUCAUUUAUUGGUCAACAUGGUUUCAAAUUAUUGACAUUAUCAUUAAAUUCUUAUAAAACUCAAUCUAUAACAAACCUUGAGAGUGAUUUAUAACAGCUAUUUAAAAGCCAUUUUAGUAAUCAGAGGAAGCAUUCAUGUUAAGAAGUAAAGAUCCACGAUUAAAUUAAAUCAGAAAUAAACUGGGCUUGUGGAAAUUAGUGGGAUACCAUUAAGUAAUCCUAAGUUAACUCAAAAAUAAAAAUUGUGUGCUUUAUAGCUUAGAAAGCACUUUCAUCUGUUUUCUUAUUUGUUGAGCCUUGAAAGAAUCGUGUGUGAGUAUAUUUUAAAUAACAUGUCAAAUGUUUCCUGAAUAGCAUAUUUGUCUGUAUGUAGAACUGUUGAUAUUUUGAAGCCCUA